UAACAAGGAUUCCCCUAGUAACUGCGAGUGAAGCGGGAAAAGCUCAAAUUUAAAAUCUGGCGGUCUGCUGGCCGUCCGAGUUGUAAUCUGGAGAAGUGUUAUCCGCGUCGGACCGUGUACAAGUCUCCUGGAAUGGAGCGUCAUAGAGGGUGAGAAUCCCGUCCAUGACACGGACGACCGAUGCUAUGUGAGGCACUCUCAAAGAGUCGAGUUGUUUGGGAAUGCAGCUCAAAAUGGGUGGUAAAUUCCAUCUAAAGCUAAAUAUUGGCGAGAGACCGAUAGCGAACAAGUACCGUGAGGGAGAGAUGAAAAGCACUUUGGAAAGAGAGUUAAACAGUACGUGAAAUUGUUGAAAGGGAAACGCUUGAAGUCAGUCGCGUCCUGUGGAACUCAGCCUUGCUUCGGCCUGGUGUACUUUCUGCAGGACGGGUCAACAUCAGUUUUGGCCGGUGGAAAAAGGGUAGGGGAAUGUAGCGCCGUUUCGGCGGCGUGUUAUAGCCCUUUGUCAAAUACACUGGCUGGGACUGAGGACUGCAGCACGCCCUUGUGGCCGGGGGUUUCGCCCCACGUAACGUGCUUAGGAUGUUGGCAUAAUGGCUUUAAGCGACCCGUCUUGAAACACGGACCAAGGAGUCUAACAUGCCUGCAAGUGUUCGGGUGGAAAACCCUUGCGCGUAAUGAAAGUGAAAGUUGGGAACCUCCGCAAGGGGGUGCACCGACGCCCGGCCCUGAAGUUCUCUGACGGUGCUGCGGUAGAGCAAGUAUGUUGGGACCCGAAAGAUGGUGAACUAUGCCUGAAUAGGGCGAAGCCAGAGGAAACUCUGGUGGAGGCUCGUAGCGAUUCUGACGUGCAAAUCGAUCGUCAAAUUUGGG
rnacentral:rRNA from 1 species